GAGUUUGAUCCUGGCUCAGGAUGAACGCUGGCGGCGUGCCUAAUACAUGCAAGUCGAACGCACAGCGAAAGGUGCUUGCACCUUUCAAGUGAGUGGCGAACGGGUGAGUAACACGUGGACAACCUGCCUCAAGGCUGGGGAUAACAUUUGGAAACAGAUGCUAAUACCGAAUAAAACUUAGUGUCGCAUGACACAAAGUUAAAAGGCGCUUCGGCGUCACCUAGAGAUGGAUCCGCGGUGCAUUAGUUAGUUGGUGGGGUAAAGGCCUACCAAGACAAUGAUGCAUAGCCGAGUUGAGAGACUGAUCGGCCACAUUGGGACUGAGACACGGCCCAAACUCCUACGGGAGGCUGCAGUAGGGAAUCUUCCACAAUGGGCGAAAGCCUGAUGGAGCAACGCCGCGUGUGUGAUGAAGGCUUUCGGGUCGUAAAGCACUGUUGUAUGGGAAGAACAGCUAGAAUAGGAAAUGAUUUUAGUUUGACGGUACCAUACCAGAAAGGGACGGCUAAAUACGUGCCAGCAGCCGCGGUAAUACGUAUGUCCCGAGCGUUAUCCGGAUUUAUUGGGCGUAAAGCGAGCGCAGACGGUUUAUUAAGUCCGAUGUGAAAGCCCGGAGCUCAACUCCGGAAUGGCAUUGGAAACUGGUUAACUUGAGUGCAGUAGAGGUAAGUGGAACUCCAUGUGUAGCGGUGGAAUGCGUAGAUAUAUGGAAGAACACCAGUGGCGAAGGCGGCUUACUGGACUGCAACUGACGUUGAGGCUCGAAAGUGUGGGUAGCAAACAGGAUUAGAUACCCUGGUAGUCCACACCGUAAACGAUGAACACUAGGUGUUAGGAGGUUUCCGCCUCUUAGUGCCGAAGCUAACGCAUUAAGUGUUCCGCCUGGGGAGUACGACCGCAAGGUUGAAACUCAAAGGAAUUGACGGGGACCCGCACAAGCGGUGGAGCAUGUGGUUUAAUUCGAAGCAACGCGAAGAACCUUACCAGGUCUUGACAUCCUUUGAAGCUUUUAGAGAUAGAAGUGUUCUCUUCGGAGACAAAGUGACAGGUGGUGCAUGGUCGUCGUCAGCUCGUGUCGUGAGAUGUUGGGUUAAGUCCCGCAACGAGCGCAACCCUUAUUGUUAGUUGCCAGCAUUCAGAUGGGCACUCUAGCGAGACUACCGGUGACAAACCGGAGGAAGGCGGGGACGACGUCAGAUCAUCAUGCCCCUUAUGACCUGGGCUACACACGUGCUACAAUGGCGUAUACAACGAGUUGCCAACCCGCGAGGGUGAGCUAAUCUCUUAAAGUACGUCUCAGUUCGGAUUGUAGUCUGCAACUCGACUACAUGAAGUCGGAAUCGCUAGUAAUCGCGGAUCAGCACGCCGCGGUGAAUACGUUCCCGGGUCUUGUACACACCGCCCGUCACACCAUGGGAGUUUGUAAUGCCCAAAGCCGGUGGCCUAACCUUUUAGGAAGGAGCCGUCUAAGGCAGGACAGAUGACUGGGGUG
rnacentral:rRNA from 1 species